rnacentral:rRNA from 1 species
UGGACAGUUAAUCGGUCUGAAGAUGGAGUGAUGGGAAUGUACAACCCUUCCAGAGGACCGUUUGGAGGAUAAGUCUGGUGCCAGCAGCCGCGGUAAUUCCAGCUCCAAUAGUGUAUAUGAGAGUUGUUGCAGUUAAAAAGCUCGUAGUUGGAUUUCUGCUGUGGUCAUCCGGUACCGCCCGUAUGGGUGCGCACCUGGUUUGGCUCCGGCUUUCUUCCUGUAGCCGUCCGCGCUUAAUUGCGUGUACUGUGUUACGGAACUUUUACUUUGAGAAAAAUAGAGUGUUUCAAGCAGGCUUGUCGCCCUGAAUACUUCAGCAUGGAAUAAUAGGAUAGGACCUUGGUUCUAUUUUGUUGGUUUCUAGGACCAAGGUAAUGAUUAAUAGGGACAGUGGG